rnacentral:lncRNA from 1 species
AAUGCAGGAAACAUUAUUAAAACAGUCAGGGAGAAAGUGUGUUAUGGCAAAAAGGCAAAUAUAGGAGUGAAGAAAGACAGCAAUCCAGGAAGAGACGUACCCAACUCAUGCUUGGUGUCCCCAUCUGUCACUAAGCCUGUCCCUCCACCAGAAGGGCCACCCUCCACAGCAGCACCCUGGCAAUCCGCACCGGAGCUACAAAGUCCUCUCUUAAUGACUUAAUGGAGAUCCAGGGAAGACUUGCUGAUGCGGCCUCAGCUCUGUGACUUCUUCCUUCCUGCGUUUUUAUUGAAGCUCCGGGAAGGGAGCCAGGACAUUUGAUGAGAGGGCAUCUGCGCCAGGGAACCUGCGGACCCGGCCGACCUGUCAGAUGAGGACACUGAGGCUUGAGAAGCGAA